rnacentral:rRNA from 1 species
GAUGAACGCUGGCGGCGUGCCUAAUACAUGCAAGUCGAGCGAACGGACGAGAAGCUUGCUUUUCUGAUGUUAGCGGCGGACGGGUGAGUAACACGUGGAUAACCUACCUAUAAGACUGGGAUAACUUCGGGAAACCGGAGCUAAUACCGGAUAAUAUUUUGAACCGCAUGGUUCAAAAGUGAAGGACGGUCUUGCUGUCACUUAUAGAUGGAUCCGCGCUGCAUUAGCUAGUUGGUAAGGUAACGGCUUACCAAGGCAACGAUGCAUAGCCGACCUGAGAGGGUGAUCGGCCACCCGGGAACUGAGACACGGUCCAGACUCCUGCGGGAGGCAGCAGUAGGGAAUCGUCCGCAAUGGGCGAAAGCCUGACGGAGCAACGCCGCGUGAGUGAUGAAGGUCUUCGGAUCGUAAAACUCUGUUAUUAGGGAAGAACAUAUGUGUAAGUAACUGUGCACAUCUUGACGGUACCUAAUCAGAAAGCCACGGCUAACUACGUG